rnacentral:lncRNA from 1 species
UCAACUUGUAACAGGUGCAGCAUGUACCUUCCACUUCUUUUAUUGACCGUGAAUUGUCAAAACACAACUGCAGCAUGAUUCCGAAUCAGGGCACGAGCUGGGGAUGAAACCUUCACCUUCUUAGGAAGAAGAUGAAGCCAGUAAUCCAGAGGUCACCUGGUAUGUGGGCCUUCUGAUUUAAAGGCUUCUUUUGGGUCAGGAAUUACUGGGGAAGCCAUACGGAGUUAGUUACUCCACACAGAACUGAGAAGAGGUUUUGGACUUCCUCUUACAGCUGAAGUUUCUUCAACCCAGUUGUGCUGUUAUUUAAUUAGCAUCGCCUAGGAAAGUCUGGUAUGAAGUCUAAAAUGUGUCUGAAAAGUGUAACCUUUGCAUGUGCCAUUGUAAAUG